rnacentral:lncRNA from 1 species
GACGUGCUUGGCCGUUUCUUCCGACUUCUGUUUAGUCGGUAUGGCCGAUGCCUUCUCCACAUUCGGCCCGACUUCACCACAAACCGGGCCGUCGUGGCUCGGCCGUUUCUUUCGACUUCUCUAUAGUCGGUGUGGCCGAUGCCUCCUCCACAUUCGGCCCGACUUCACCUCAAACCGGGCUGACGUGGCUCGCCGUUUCUUCCGACUUCCGGUUAGUCAGUAUGGCCGAUGCCUUCUCCACAUUCGGCCCGACUUCACCACAAACCGGGCCGUCGUGGCUCGGCCAUUUCUUUCCACUUUUCUUUAGUCGAUGUUGCAGUUCCCUCAUCCGCCUUCG